GAAAUGCGAUAAGUAAUGUGAAUUGCAGAAUUCAGUGAAUCAUCGAAUCUUUGAACGCACAUUGCGCCCGUCAGCAUUCUGGCGGGCAUGCCUGUUCGAGCGUCAUUUCAUCCCUCAGGACCCCCCUUUCGCGGGGAGGGACCUGGCGUUGGGGAUCGGCCCGCCCCCCGCGGCGGCGCCGUCCCCGAAAUCUAGUGGCGGUCUCGCUGCAGCCUCCCCUGCGUAGUAGUUACAACCUCGCAUCGGAGCGCGGCGCGGCCACGCCGUAAAACCCCCGACUUUCUGAACGUUGACCUCGGAUCAGGUAGGAAUACCCGCUGAACUUAAGC
rnacentral:misc_RNA from 1 species